UAGGAAACAAAUUAUCUCAUAGAAGCAUGUCUUCCACACAGUUUUGCCCUGAAGGACAUGAAAUGAACAUGUGACAAGUGAUAUUACAUGUAAUCCACAUGGGAGAUGCUGUUUCUACCUUUACAGAUGAAGAAACUGAGCCUCAGUGGACUUAAUGACUCUCCCUAAGGAAGCAUAUAUUGGCUAGUUCCUGGCAGUCAGUCUUCCAGAAACUUCCAGGCUUGGGAUACACCUGAAAGUCUCUCAAGAGCUGGAAAAAUAGUGGCAAAACCCCCCUUUAAAGGCCCUCACCUUUCACAAAGACUCUCAUGUAGGAAAAGAAGCUUGUAAUUGAAUCCCCCCACUGCUUAAUUGGAAAUAGAAUGGCUCCACAACCAGAUUUGAAACAUCUUCUGAAGCUGGAACUGCGUUCAAACAAUGAACUAUUGACUCCUUAUUACAAGCCAGGCAUGAGAGAGA